UAGGGAAUCUUCGGCAAUGGGGGGAACCCUCACCGAGCAACGCCGCGUGAGUGAAGAAGGUUUUCGGAUCGUAAAGCUCUGUUGUUAAGGAAGAACGAGUGUGAGAAUGGAAAGUUCAUGCUGUGACGGUACUUAACCAGAAAGGGACGGCUAACUACGUGCCAGCAGCCGCGGUAAUACGUAGGUCCCGAGCGUUGUCCGGAUUUAUUGGGCGUAAAGCGAGCGCAGGCGGUUAGAAAAGUCUGAAGUGAAAGGCAGUGGCUCAACCAUUGUAGGCUUUGUAAACUGUUUAACUUGAGUGCAGAAGGGGAGAGUGGAAUUCCAUGUGUAGCGGUGAAAUGCGUAGAUAUAUGGAGGAACACCGGUGGCGAAAGCGGCUCUCUGGUCUGUAACUGACGCUGAGGCUCGAAAGCGUGGGGAGCGAACAGG
rnacentral:rRNA from 1 species